UGCGGCAAAAUCAUCAUUAUCAACAGCAACAUUGUUUUCAACACGUUUAUAAGCAGAAGCAAGAGUAGCAGACUUCCUCCAAAACCCUAAUAAACUCCCCCAAUCCAUUAGCCCUAACACUGUCUCUGUGUCUGUCAAUGGAGGAAGCAAAAGAUACAGCAGCAUCGAGGAACCCAAACCCCAAAGAGUCAGUUGUAUGCGAAGAGUGCAAAGUGGAGGCGUCAAAAUACAAAUGUCCAGGUUGCUCUAUACGCUCCUGUAGUCUUCCUUGCGUCAAAGCUCACAAAGAGCGCACUGCUUGUACUGGAAAGCGCCAACAGACUCACUUCGUUCCUCUCUCUCACUUCGAUGAUAAUCUCCUCCUAUCCGAUUAUAAUAUGCUUGAGGAUGUUAAGAGGGUGUCUGAGUCUGCUCAGAGAAUGAGAGUCAAGUUGUUCAAAUAUUCUCAUUUUAGGCUUCCUUUCCAUCUGAAAAGCCUUCGGAGUGCCGCAGCAAGUCGUGGGACAAAACUUCUAUUUCUUUCAAGUGGAAUGUCAAAGAGAGAGACAAAUCAGUCUUCUUACAACAACAGGAAGAAAUUCAUCUCUUGGACAAUUGAGUGGCGGUUUCAUUCAACAGAUGUUGUGUUGAUUGACCAUGGAGUAGAUGAAAAUACGCCUCUCUGUUCAGUGAUUGAGAACCAUUUGAGGCCUGGUCCAUGGAAACAUCGGCUGAGGCAAUUCUGUGAGGAGACACUGGGCUCUCUCAAAUUAUUCAUCCGUAAAUAUCCCAAGGGCCCCAAGGCACCUUUCCGGGAGCUGGACAUGAAGGCUCCACUGCGCCAACAAUUAGCCAAUUUAGUUAUUUUGGAGUAUCCCGUUGUUCAUGUUUAUCUCCCUUCGCAUAGUUAUGAUUUUGUAGUCAAGGAUGUUAUUCCUCAUAAAACAGAGAUUAAGAGCAAUAAUCACCCAAUUCCAAAGGGUGUGACCUUUAGGGAGGAGGAAAUAGAAGAUGGCAGUUCAGAUCCUCAGAUUUUGGAUGUCAUGAAACAUGUUAAACCUGAUCCCGUGUUCCAGAUUACCAGUAAAUAUGAGGGAACUGAGAAGGAAUUAAAUGACAAAUUAGACGGGUCAUUUUUGGAAAAAGUGGCCCAAGAUAAUAUACACUCGAGCUUGAAGACUAAGGACCCUGGAGUGCUUGAGGGCAUGGGUUUUGAUUUUGAGCAAGAUUUGAUUGACACAUACUCGGAUCUCAUUGCGCAAAAUAAUCCUGAUGACUUUCUUGAUUUGGAAGGUGUGUUUCCUGAGGGAUUCAUUGGAUUCAUCCCAGCUGAGGAGGAGUUAGAGGAAGGGGAGAUACCUGGAUUUUGAAUUAUGAUUGCUAUAUUGGUUUCAUCUACAAUGAUGUGGAAUCACACUUCUAAAUGGUUCUUAAAGUGGUGGCAUGCUUGUGGAGGUGACAAUCGUUUGCUGUAUAUUUGAUCCUACGGAGGCUUGGAAGUAUACCUUGGCAUUUCCAGUGGAUUCGCAUGUGAACAGACGAUGUUCAUUGUUGAGGCUGCGAUCUCUAGUUUGUGGGUCUCCCAAAUCCACUAUUGGUUGCCCUAUCGGUGGUUAAUUGUUUUGCGAUGAGAUGUUAGAUGUCUCAUGAUAACGUGUGCUGGUAUUGUUAUUUUGUGGUCCGUUUGUUGCAAUGCCAGAGAAUUUGAGUUUUGUUUGUUUCUUUAAAAUAUUGAGCUGUCACAUGAGAUAGUUUCAGUUGUUACAUACACUUGGAAACUCACUCUCUACCAGCUAAUGUUCCAGAUUUUGCCAGCAUGUGAAUCUAAAUGCUGUAAUGAUAUUGUCAGAUGAUUCCAUGUAUGAGAAAGUAGAUGAAAAUUUUGUAAAACUUUUGUGAAAUGCGCUAGACAUGUAUUCCAAACACCUCAUCAGUGAAGUAAAUCAGCUAUCAAAUGUCCUCUCA